AUACAGAAGGAGAAAAAAGAGAGAGAUGGAGGCAUUUUUGUGUCCCAACUUGGGCAGGUGAAACUUGAAACUUUUACUUUUAGUUCAUGACAGGAAAACUUCCCUACACGGAGUUCCCUGGUGGCACAGCAGGUUAAGGACCCAGUGCUGUCACUGCUAUGGCUUGAGUUGGAUCCCUGGCCCUAGAACAACUCUGCAUGCUUUGGGCAUGGCCAACAAAAUAAAACAAACAACAAAACAAAACAAAAAACAGAAACAGAAGAAAUUCCCUCCAGCAGGGGACUGACCCAGAUCCCAGUGGCAGCAGGGUGACAUCAUACCUAAACAUCAAUCCGAUGGAACAGGAAGGAUUUGAGAUCUAUAACCAAAUUACUACCUUGGAACUUUGUGCUUGUUAUGCUAAUAUAAGGACUUCCGUACUACAAGUAUGUUUUCAGAGCUGGAAAUUAGCUUUUUAGAAUGCUUUGUGUAAUGACAGACAUUGGACAGAGGAGACAAAUGUGCCAGCAAUGGUGGUACAAUACUCCUGGCAAACACCCUGGACUAUUUUAACAGAUAAAUGGACACCCAGAUAGUAUGUUCAUAAAAUUAAUCUGAGAGCAAGCUCGGGGGACUGGGUGAGAAAACAGGUGCUGCCAGAUCACUGCCGUGGUGAAGGUGCUCUUGCAACCCCCCACCUUUUCUUUCAGACUUAGUUGAUUAGCACCAUCCAUUUCUUGUCCCUCCGGGUAGAUAGAUGCCUAGGGAGAAACAUAAGAGAAAAGCAUUUCUUUUUUCUUUCUCAUGUGUCUUUUUAGGGCCGCACCUGUGGCAUAUGGAAGUUCCCAGGCUAGGGGUCAAAUCUGAGCUGCAGCUGCCAGCCUGCACCACAGUCACAGUCACAGCCACAGCCACAGCCACAACAACACAGGAUCAGAGUGAAGUCUGUGACCUACAGCACAGCUAAUGUCAAUGCAGGAUCCUUAACCCACUGAGCUAGGCCAGGGAUUGAGCCCGAAACCUCACAGAUACUAGUCGGGUUCAUUACUGCUGAGCCACAUUGGGAACUAAAUAGAGAAGUAUUUCAUAAAUAGUACUGCAAACACACUGCUACCUCCAGCUAAUGGUUUGUGUACUCUUAAACUUAGACUGAAGACAGUAAGGGAAAGAAAUAUUUUCAAUGAGGGGUUGGAGGUGGAGUGGGGGGGUAUGUAAGUAUAGGGAGAAAUUAACAACUUAAAAUUUUAGAGCCGUGUAUACAUUGGGGUUGUCCAAUAUAUCUCCUGUGUCCAGUGUAUCAUACUCUGCACUGUGAUUAAGAAUUCAGGCAAAUCCUCAAAAUUGUGGCAUUGACCUCAUGUGGUUUAUGUCUUGAGAGUCAAGGCUAAGAUAUUGAAGGCACCAUAUUUCUAAAUAAUAAUAAUAAUAAUUAUAACAAUUAGUUCAGUGUAUAAGGCUGGGAUAAGAGCAAUCAUUUCUCAUAAUUGUAAAUAAGGUAAAUUCACACACUGAACAAGUACUCAAGAAGAGAACUCUUUUUUAUCAGUUACCUGCUCUUUAUAGACAGCUUGGUUAUUGUGUGCCUAUUUCUUCUCCUCCAGCUCCCCGCCUUCCCCCGCUGCUACCCACUAUGACAGUUACUUUAGAAAUAAGUGACUUGGUUCCUGGAUGGAUUUCCAGCCCUUCUGCAUGACACAGGUUCCAAAUGUCAAAUUGCAACUAUGGAGAAGCCUGUGAACUAUGAUAAUGGAUAAACUCGUGUGUGUUAACAGUCCUGUUUGGUGCUAGAGCAGGGUUGCCAAGACAUAGUCUGAAUGAGUUGGGGGUUUCUGAGAUCUUGUAAAAUGAGGCCAAUUUGAAAUGUUGGCACUGAAUGCUGAGCUUUUUAUAAUAGCCCACGUUGUCCCAUUUUCUUCUAGAGUUGAAUAGGAACAAAAUACCUGGCUUCAUGCAGUGGUUCUCUGAUGACAAAUGAACUAAUUAGAGGUGGUGUUUCUUAGUUCAUCCCAAAGAUCUUAGCCUAGCCGUGGAAGAUGUGGGAAAUGCAGGCUCUGAUAGCUUUAGUUUUAGAAAAGACAACUUUUAACAUCUGAAACUGUCUCCCCUAGCUCUCUACUAUCUGAUCCCCUCUAGCAUUUUCUUUGUAUAGAUGGGUCCAGGUAGGCUAAGGGUAACUGUACUAUUUAAUACAUUAACUCAAUGACAGAGCAAAUCUAUUAAACAGAUUACCUUUCACCUUUGGUGUGUAAAGAAGUCUUCGUAUGCCAAGGUCAUGAGGCCUCUUAGCAAAGUUCCUGUGAGAGAAAUUAACAUUUUUAUCACAUAAUCUAAUCUAUCAAGUGGAGUAGAUUCCAAGGUAAGUCCAUCUAGUACUGCUUUUUUUUUUUUUCCUUUAAAAAAGGCCAGCAGUGAAAGAAGUCAUUGAAUUAAAAGUGCUAUAUGAAAAAUAAAAGGGGAGAGAAUACAGAUAAGGAAGGUUUACAUCUUCAUGCUCUUGUAGGAUAUGGCAGUAUUUGUAGGUGGCAGAUUGUAGAGAGAAGGCCAUAAAGGCAACUACAGUGACAUUGAGGCAGAGAAAAAGCUUGCUGGAGAUUAUGGGUUCCUGUUACUUAUGAUCAGAUGCCUUUCAGUUACUUUUGAGGUGAAGGAUUUAUACACUGCAGAAAUCCUGAUCACAUUGAUGGGAAUGAUGUGGGACUUCAAAGGAUAGGUUUUGAAGUUGUUGGACAUUUAGUUUCAGAUUUCCAUCUCCAAAACUCAAAUCUGAAUUGCUCAUUGGUUCAGAGAGGAAAAUGCUUAAUUUGAAAUUCUGUCAUAAACUCUGUGAGAGCAGACAAACUUAGAUGAGCUUAGAAAUAGCUUUGAAUCCCAAAUCUCAAUACCGUUAUACUACUUGAUUAUAGAAGAAAACGGGACCACCUGUCUCUAACAAGGAGAGACGCCUAUUGGAAAUAUCUCAGCAUGUGCGUUCUCAGCCCAUGAUAGAGAACAUGACAUUUAAGCCGUAUGGAUAGUUCUGGUCUCAUGUCAUCUAAACAUCACAUUUUUCAAACUCAGAAAUGCCAGAUCGUGUUAUUUCUGCGGCAAGGCGUUGCUUAGGAUCUGUGACAGAUGAGUUUUCCCUAUCGAUUAUGUGACAAUGCAGUUCAUUUAUAGAGUUCAAGGAAAUGAGAACAGCCUCCAGUUUAACAAGAAGACCCUUAAUUCAAGGGCUGUGUUGUAUUUAAAUGCAGAAAUCAAAAUUCAAGUUGGAGAAAGUGGAAGAGUGAAUUUAACUGUGAACGCGAACUUUUAUAGCUCAGUCAUCCUCCUUGGAGGGCUGCAACUGAUCACUGAAUCUGAUGCCUUCUGAUUAGGUGACUGAUUUGUAAAUAAACCAUGCAAGAAAUCAUAUCUUACAUAGAGAAUUCAUCUUUACAUCAAUGUACACAUUUAAAGUUGCUCCUAAUGUAAAACAUGUAGUGAAUCCAAAAUGUAAAAAACAAAGGGCACCCUAGCGAGUCUAUGUGCAUAUGGGGAGGAGGGGCUGUUAAUAGAGAUACCAACCUGAAAACACUUUGAAAGAACUUUCCAGAUUUAUCUUAAAUUCUGAAAUGAUUUAAUAUGCACAUGUUCUUCCAAUGUAUCCACAGGGUACAGACAGGCAUGCAGAAGUAACUAGACGUCCAACACAUGCCAAGGUCUUGCGGGCCCAGGAUUUCGAACAAAAGAAAACUCGGUAACGUGACUGUAAAUCAAGGGCAUUUGAGACCAUAGACGCGCGCACCACUGCAAGGGUUAAUUGGAGGAGAGGGAAGAGAGAGGCUCCACCUUGCAGUCUGUGUGAACUUCGGCCAGAAAAAGAGCUGGAGCUCCAGCCGCCGCCGGUGGGAGCCCUGCAGUCCGCGGCACGCGGUCCCUUGUUGUGGGGCAGGUGUGGCGCCGGGUAGAGGCGGGGCGCAACCUGGAAACUGCCGCCUGAGCUGUGGCCCGCGCCCUGCCUACCCUUUGGCGCAUCUGUUUCUUUAUUGCCUGAAAGCCAUCCGACGCGUUGAAGGCGCGAUUAUCGACAAUUUGUCAGCCCGAUUUUGUCGCUUGCAAUAACUUUUGGUGAAGUUUCACUCUCAGGCCCUUGAGUUUCGGGAUGAGGAAAUGUGGUAUGAGAGCAUUGUCCUGUGUUUGGCUUCUCAUUUCCACAGGACCCAGGCAGGCAGAAGAAGGGAAAAGAAAGUUAAUCCGACUGCAGUCACUCUGGCACACAAGCCAUGGGGAAACGGGAGAGAAACUUGUUCCUUCUCCUACAAAACUCUCCCCUUCCCCCUCAAGCCCCUCCCCCCACCAGGUCCUUUUUAAUAGAUCAGUCCCUCAUCUCCCCCCCCCUCCACACACGUAUUCUUGGGCCCACAAUUCUCUUGAGCAACCUAGGACUGAGUUUUUGUGUUUUGUUUGUUUUGCUUCCUUUUUCCUUUGUGUUUGUGGAUGUGGAUUGUUUUUCAGGGACCAGGGGCCAGGACCGCAGCUCUAAACCUGAACCGUUCACCUUCAUGAUCCCUUUCUUCCCCUCUUCUUGAUUGGUGGCUGUCGUGGCCAAGACCAUGCCCUUUCCUGAGCAUGGAGCAGUGGGGCAGCUGCUCUGAAGCAGCUGCUGUGCCUUACCCCUCUUUUCUCAAUCAUUAAAAUUCAAUUUCAAAAUUUCUGUCUUUAACAAUUUCCUAAGGAGACUAUGAAGAAUGCCAAAAGAGUGGGCCUUUUUUCAAGUGGUCAUGUUUCAGCAAAAGGCAGGCACAGUCCAAGUUGCCCUAGGUUGUGCCCUUAUAGGAGCAGGGCAGUGGAUGUUGUGUAAAAUGGAGUGCUGUGCCCACCUUGAACGAGAGACGAGCUCUGGCAGGUCAAGAACCUGGGGAGAGCAACUCCAGCUUUUCCAUCCACAUCACCCCUGCAGCUUGAUGGAGCACAGCACCAAGCAGGAAGUUCUCAUUUUUUUUUUUUUUUUUAAUGUCCACACCCAUGACAUACAGAAGUUUCUGGCCCAGGGAUUGAAUCUAAGUUUCAGCUAUGACCUAUGUGGCAGCUAUAGCAAUGCCAGAUCCCUUAACCCGCUGCACCAAGCUGGGGAUCAAACCCUCACCUCUGCAGCAACCCAAGCUGCUGCAGUUAGAUUUUUAACCCACUGCACCACAGCUGGAACUCUGGGGAAGUUCUCUUUAAUAGUUCCUCACUUUCUUCCUUGAUCCAAAAAGAAAAAUAUUUGUAUUCGGAAAGUUCUCUUCUGCUAAGAAGUUUCUAUUAACAUCUCUUUCUCCUUUCAGUGAAGUCUGUUUCUGGGUCAAGGGGAGUGUUUUAAGAAACAGAAAAAUAGAGACACACACAUAACUGCAAUAGGUAGCUGAACUUCAUCAGGAGCCUUGAGUAGCCAAGAAAACAUUCUUCUGAUGCAACUUCAGAGUUUCAUCCCCUGCUCCAAAAUUUAUCAUGUAAUUAGUACCCAAAAUGCCUCCUUUAACCAACACCCAUUGCAACCUAUGGAAAAGAUGUAGCAUUUUUUUUUUGAAAUUCUAGAUGGACCUAAGGAUUACCUGACUCCUAUUGCCAUCACCUCUUAAUCACACAAAACUGUUUUCCUAAACACCAACCUUUUUCCCUAUAAAAACCACUGACCCCUCAGUAUACCUAGUACCUUUUUUCCUCCCUUUAAAUUAUUAUUCCUUACUCUUUUCUGUUCUGGGGCCCUGAGCCAGAUUCUCAGAAUUAAUCCUGAGUUCUCCCAAAUGCCAUGACAAGUUAGAAGGGAAAUUGGGGGACUGCACUGAAAAUACAUGGUAUAGAGAGUAAAUGUUACAGCUGUUGACAAGUGGCAGUUUGGGGUAUCAGCAAUGAAUUCCACAUUUUUCUAUAGGCUUCUUUUUACUUCACUUUAGGAUCCACUGAUCCUAAUAGAAACAAGUUAAAACUGCAGUUCCCUUCGUGGCGCAGUGGUUAACGAAUCCGACUAGUAACCAUGAGGUUGUGGGUUUGAUCCCUGGCCUUGCUCAGUGGGUUAAGGAUCCGGCGUUGCUGUGAGCUGUGGUGUAGGCCGGUGGCUGCAGCUCCGAUUAGACCCCUAGCUUGGGAAUCUCCAUAUGCCCCUGGAGCAGCCAUAGAAAAGGCAAAAAGAC
rnacentral:lncRNA from 1 species